ACGUAGGGUGCAAGCGUUAAUCGGAAUUACUGGGCGUAAAGCGUGCGCAGGCGGUCGUGCAAGACAGAUGUGAAAUCUCCGGGCUUAACCUGGGAACUGCAUUUGUGACUGCAAGGCUGGAGUGCGGCAGAGGGGGAUGGAAUUCCGCGUGUAGCAGUGAAAUGCGUAGAGAUGCGGAGGAACACCGAUGGCGAAGGCAGCCCCCUGGGCUGACACUGACGCUCAGGCACGAAAGCGUGGGGAGCGAACAGGA
rnacentral:rRNA from 1 species